GCACCAAAACUAAUACUAUCUCCAACUGGACCGAAGCGAGAUUCCAUAUGAUACACUUCAUCUAGUAGUUCCAUCGGGUGCAUCUACAGUUCCAUCGGGUUUGUCCAAACUGAUUUCUGAGUAUAUGGUUUGUUCCAUGCAAACCGUGCACCUAUCUUGCAUCAAGAUUAGAACUAUCUGCAAACAGACAGAACCAAGAUUCCACUUGAGCCUCUUCACCAAGGAGUACCAUCGUGUGUGUCCAAAAUAGUUUCUAAGCCCG
rnacentral:lncRNA from 1 species